rnacentral:rRNA from 1 species
AUUGCCCUAGUAACGGCGAGUGAAGCGGCAAAAGCUCAAAUUUGAAAUCUGGCCCUCUAUGGGGGUCCGAGUUGUAAUUUGCAGAGGGUGCUUUGGUGUUGGCAGCGGUCUAAGUUCCUUGGAACAGGACGUCACAGAGGGUGAGAAUCCCGUACGUGGUCGCCUGCCUUCGCCGUGUAAAGCCCCUUCGACGAGUCGAGUUGUUUGGGAAUGCAGCUCUAAAUGGGAGGUAAAUUUCUCCUAAAGCUAAAUACUGGCCAGAGACCGAUAGCGCACAAGUAGAGUGAUCGAAAGAUGAAAAGCACUUUGGAAAGAGAGUCAAAUAGCACGUGAAAUUGUUAAAAGGGAAGCGCUUGCAGCCAGACUUGCCCGCGGUUGUUCUCUUCUGUGGGCAGGCCAGCAUCAGUUUGGGCGAUUGGAUAAAGGCCUCUGUCACGUAUCUCCCUUUGGGGAGACCUUAUAGGGGAGGCGCAAUGCAAUCAGCCCGGACUGAGGUCCGCGCAUCUGCUAGGAUGCUGGCGUAAUGGCUGUAAGCGGCCCGUCUUGAAACACGGACCAAGGAGUCUAACAUCUAUGCGAGUGUUUGGGUGUCAAGCCCGGGCGCGUAAUGAAAGUGAACGGAGGUGGGAACCCUCUUGGGGGUGCACCAUCGACCGAUCCUGAAGUCUUCGGAUGGAUUUGAGUAAGAGCAUGGCUGUUGGGACCCGAAAGAUGGUGAACUAUGCUUGAAUAGGGUGAAGCCAGAGGAAACUCUGGUGGAGGCUCGCAGCGGUUCUGACGUGCAAAUCGAUCGUCAAAUUUGGGCAUAGGGGCGAAAGA